AGGGAAAGAGAGGUCACACGGAUUCCGGGGCGGCCUUUGGAGGUGACCUCUGGGUUGAGCUGAAGUUUUGAAGCACAAAGCUGCAGAGCUGAGGUGAUCUCUGCAGAGAGGCAGCGAAUGGAGAGGUGGUGAUCCCAGGAGCACAACCCUAGUAACAGUCUGGCAGGCUCGCCUCGGCCUCCCGGAAGUGCUGCACCCAGGAAGCCCGCAGAGCCACCCGGAGCCGCCAGUACAGGGCAACUCUUGGGUUUCUGGAUCAAC